AGAGCGAACGCUGGCGGCAGGCCUAAUACAUGCAAGUCGAACGCACCUUCGGGUGAGUGGCGGACGGGUGAGUAACACGUGGGAACGUGCCUUUUGGUUCGGAAUAAUCCGGGGAAACCUGGCCUAAUACCGGAUGUGCCCUUCGGGGGAAAGAUUUAUCGCCAUUAGAGCGGCCCGCGUCUGAUUAGCUAGUUGGUGAGGUAACGGCCCACCAAGGCGACGAUCAGUAGCUGGUCUGAGAGGAUGAUCAGCCACACUGGGACUGAGACACGGCCCAGACUCCUACGGGAGGCAGCAGUAGGGAAUCUUGCGCAAUGGGCGAAAGCCUGACGCAGCCAUACCGCGUGAAUGAUGAAGGUCUUAGGAUUGUAAAAUUCUUUCAGCGGGGAAGAUAAUGACUGUACCCGCAGAAGAAGCUCCGGCUAACUUCGUGCCAGCAGCCGC
rnacentral:rRNA from 1 species